rnacentral:rRNA from 1 species
GGGCGUUAAGUUGCAGGGUAUAGACCCGAAACCCGGUGAUCUAGCCAUGGGCAGGUUGAAGGUUGGGUAACACUAACUGGAGGACCGAACCGACUAAUGUUGAAAAAUUAGCGGAUGACCUGUGGCUGGGGGUGAAAGGCCAAUCAAACCGGGAGAUAGCUGGUUCUCCCCGAAAGCUAUUUAGGUAGCGCCUCGUGAACUCAUCUCCGGGGGUAGAGCACUGUUUCGGCUAGGGGGCCAUCCCGGCUUACCAACCCGAUGCAAACUGCGAAUACCGGAGAAUGUUAUCACGGGAGACACACGGCGGGUGCUAACGUCCGUCGUGAAGAGGGAAACAACCCAGACCGCCAGCUAAGGUCCCAAAGUCAUGGUUAAGUGGGAAACGAUGUGGGAAGG